rnacentral:rRNA from 11 species
UUCUACAGACAAUAUAAUAUGGUCUUUGAGCCCUAAAGGCACCAGAUUCUGAUCCUGAGAGCUAAGCAGCAUCCAUUCUGGUUAGUAAAUGAGUGGAAGACCACCAGUGAAUAUCAGAUGCUGCAGGCU